CCUACGGGUGGCAGCAGUGAGGAAUAUUGGUCAAUGGCCGGAAGGCUGAACCAGCCAAGCCGCGUGAAGGACGAAGGUGCCAAGCAUUGUAAACUUCUUUUGUCAAGGAACAAAAUCAGGCUCGAGAGCCUGACCGAGGGUACUUGAAGAAAAAGCAUCGGCUAACUCCGUGCCAGCAGCCGCGGUAAUACGGAGGAUGCGAGCGUUAUCCGGAUUUAUUGGGUUUAAAGGGGGCGUAGGCGGACUGUUAAGUCAGCGGUAAAAGCCCGGGGCUCAACCCCGGCGAGCCGUUGAAAAUGGCUGUCGUGAGAAGUCGAGAGGUAGGCGGAAUGCGCGGUGUAGCGGUGAAAUGCUUAGAUAUUGCGCAGAACUCCGAUUGCGAAGGCAGCAUACCGGCGGGGAACUGACGCUGAGGCACGAAAGCGUGGGUAUCGAACAGGAUUAGAUACCCUUGUAGUC
rnacentral:rRNA from 1 species